UACGAACCGUCCAAACGUUAUUCGGAAUCACUGGGCUUAAAGGGUGCGUAGGCGGCUCGAAAAGUUGGGUGUGAAAGCCCUCGGCUCAACCGAGGAAUUGCGCCCAAAACUGCCGGGCUCGAGGGAGACAGAGGUGAGCGGAACUUAGGGUGGAGCGGUGAAAUGCGUUGAUAUCCUAAGGAACACCAGUAGCGUAAGCGGCUCACUGGGUCUCUUCUGACGCUGAGGCACGAAAGCUAGGGGAGCGAAGAGG
rnacentral:rRNA from 1 species